UCAUAUGGGAUUCCAAUCGCUUAUCCGUUCCAAUAAACCGAUUGGGCGCCGCUUCAACUAUAACAUUUUGAAAUCUACCCUUUGAAUUCAAUUCUCUCUUCUCCCAAUCCAUACUAUGUUGCAAAUCUCUUCCCUUUUUCCAAUCUAAUUUCUCUUUUCCCGUCCUUAUUCAUCUCAUCAUUAAUUUCUUCUCCCAAUUCAUAUUUUACAAUGGAAUCUUCACUCCAAUUUUUUAGGUAUUCUGUAUCAAUUUCUAUUGCUUUAACAUAUAUAAAUAUGAACAAUUUUAUCGACUUUCAAUCACACUCCUUCUGAUAUGGAGGAAUUGCUUUUUCGAUUCUCACAAAAGGUAUAAGGAAAGGAAAUGGGAUCCGAAAUCUGAUGGAAUGUCAUCUUCGCAUUCAGCUAUUUGUUCUUGCUACGAUGGUUGGAUUUCAUGAAGGAUUUGGGGGACCGCUUUUCGCUACUGCAUUGGUUCUAGCUAUCGUUGAUGCCUAACCAAAAUUUUUGAAAACGGGAAGCAACUUAAUUAUUGGGAGAAAGGAAAUUAAUGGAACUGUUAAAUGGAGCUACACAGAGCCAACACAAAAUGGAAACAAAAUAAUGUCAAUAUAACCAAAUGGAUGACAACAAAGCUUGUGUUGAUCCUGGCUGUUCUUUGGAGUCUUAACAGAUUGUAGAGUCCAAGUUCUAUAUUUAUAGUACAAAACAUAUUUUCCUUGUGCACUUAUAAGUUUCAAUUUGAUAGAGUUAGUCUUGUUCAUGUUAGGAUGAUUUUAAACUUUUGUUGUUGAUAGCUUGGUAGAUUCACAUGUCAGCUUACUUCUUGCGGCGAGAAACUAAGAUAGCUAGAGCAGGGGGAUGCACAUGAUUAUGUAAUGGUCCAUGGGAAGCAUAUCACCAAUGUUUACUUUAUUACCAC